CUCCUUUGACGUUAGCGGCGGACGGGUGAGUAACACGUGGGUAACCUACCUAUAAGACUGGGAUAACUUCGGGAAACCGGAGCUAAUACCGGAUAAUAUUUCGAACCGCAUGGUUCGAUAGUGAAAGGUGGUUUUGCUAUCACUUAUAGAUGGACCCGCGCCGUAUUAGCUAGUCGGUAAGGUAACGGCUUACCAAGGCGACGAUACGUAGCCGACCUGAGAGGGUGAUCGGCCACACUGGAACUGAGACACGGUCCAGACUCCUACGGGAGGCAGCAGCC
rnacentral:rRNA from 1 species